rnacentral:rRNA from 1 species
ACGCUCGACACCUACGGGAGGCAGCAGUGGGGAAUAUUGCACAAUGGGGGAAACCCUGAUGCAGCGACGCCGCGUGAGCGAAGAAGUAUUUCGGUAUGUAAAGCUCUAUCAGCAGGGAAGAAACUGACGGUACCUGACUAAGAAGCACCGGCUAAAUACGUUCCAGCAGCCGCGGUAAUCUGAGCGGGCUGGCAAGGC